rnacentral:lncRNA from 1 species
UACUUAUAUUUAUACAAUAAUAUGUUUAUUUUCCAAAUUAUAUUUAAUUAUAUGAUUGAAAUUUAUGAAUGAUUGAUGUCUCAAUUCAACAAAUAUUAAUCAAAUCAAGGUAUCCUUCUAUCUUAAAAUUCCUAUCCAUCCCUACCUAAGCCAAUUACCAUGGCACAACCCAACUUAACUUGGCUAACCCAACCCAACCUAGCUAGCCUGACCAAACUCGAAUUUAGCUUAAGAUCAGUUGGGCUAGAUUAGGCUUUGCCUUUGACUCGAUGCAAACUGUCUGAGCUGCAUUC